UACGUAGGGGGCAAGCGUUGUCCGGAAUCAUUGGGCGUAAAGCGCGUGUAGGCGGCCCGGUAAGUCCGCUGUGAAAGUCCAGGGCUCAACCCUGGAAUGCCGGUGGAUACUGUCGGGCUCGAGUCCGGAAGAGGAGAGUGGAAUUCCUGGUGUAGCGGUGAAAUGCGCAGAUAUCAGGAAGAACACCGAUGGCGAAAGUAGCUCUCUGGGACGAUACUGGCGCUGAGGCGCGAAAGCGUGGGGAGCAAACAGGG
rnacentral:rRNA from 1 species